rnacentral:rRNA from 1 species
GUAACGCGUAGGCAACUUACCUCUUACAGGAGGAUAGCCCGGCGAAAGCUGGAUUAUUACUUCGGAUAUAUUGUCACGGCAUCUUAUUACUAUUAACGACUUAUCGGUAAGGGAUAGGCCUGCGUCCCAUAAGCUAGUUGGUAAGGUACAAGCUUACCAAGGCAAUAAUGGGUAGGGGGUUUGAAAGGAUGAUCCUCCACACUGGCACUGAGACACGGGCCAGACUCCUACGGGAGGCAGCAGUGAGGAAUAUUGCGCAAUGGGCGAAAGCCUGACGCAGCCAAACCGCGUGCAGGAAGACGGUCGUAAGAUUGUAAACUGCUUUAGUAUCCGAGGAACAAUCAGAACGAGUUUUUGAUUUGACAAGUAGGAUACGAACAAGCACCGGCUAACUCCGUGCCAGCAGCCGCGGUAAUACAGAGGGUGCAGGCGUAAUCCGGAUAUACUAGGUUUAAAGGGUCUGUAACGCUGUAUAUAACGUCAGUGGUGAAACUGUCUGAGCUUAACUGAUGACUUGCCAUUGAAACUGGAAUACUUGAGUAUGGUUGCUGACGGCGGAACUGUAUUAUGUAGCGGGUCAAAUGCAUAGAUCUGAUACAGAACAC